GAGGGUAUAGCUCAGUGGUAGAGCGUGUGCUUAGCAUGCAUGAGGUCCUGGGUUCAAUCCCCAGUACCUCUA
rnacentral:tRNA from 1 species